UUAUGAAUCGAGUAAACGGUUGGUCCUACAAUGGCAGUGAUAAUGGUCAAAGAUUGAAUAAAGCCAGACAGUUAUAGAAAAACAAGUGUUGAUCCUCAUGAUUUUGAUGACCACGGACCUGAGACUGGAGUAUUGAGGCUGUUGGAUAUUAUUUGAACAUCCAUUCAAACGUCAAAUAGAAAUGCGGUGCGUGACUAGAUGGUCAACUGAUCUAACUGAUCUGCCUAACGUUACAAUAGCGCACGUGUCUGGUUUCUCUACGGUAUCCGUGCAGUUCUGUUCGGUACCUGUAUGGUCCAAGAGUAUGCGACAGUGGACUGGAAAUUUCGGACAGGGGACGAGCGACCACUGCUAGCGAGCUCUGUGGCCAAUGACGUGGCCAGGGUUGCCAGCGAUUAUUACAGUGAGUGAAAGCAGAAAGGAUUGUCCAGGAGCAGAAGCCUCUUGAGGAACGUGCAAGCUAUGAAAAAAGGCAUGCAAUGGCGGCCACAGUCACACACGUAGCAAGUAGAGGCUUGCUGCAAAGAACCAACUGUGUCUUUGUGCUCCGCCCGUACAACACAGCAAAACAACAACAGAGUUGCAUAGCCAGUGGCUGACGACUCUCUUACGGCCGUUGGAAAGCGCAACUGUGUUUCAAGUGUCAAAAGAACUCUCAGCGCUGAAUCCAACCUACCAGACUGUAGAGCCAUGAAGAUCUUGAUUGGUGGGACACACGGAUCAAUGAUCACCGCUGGAACUGCAUUCUGGGCAGCAUGACUCACUGGACGUCUGUGAGGACAGUGCAGAGCAUGAUUUUUAUGAUCAAUCAAAAACUGCUCAUUGCUGUUACCCGUACAAUGAUAUGUACACAUGCUCACUGGAAUGAACUGGCAACGACGGUGUUGACGAGGGGAACGGCCGAUAUCUCCAACCUAACCUGGCAGCCGUACAAAGGCGGCAUCAUGAUGGCCAGCUUGCCUGACGAGUUCAUCGCUCAGUAUCCAGAACCGUUCCAGCAACUUUCCCACAAUGAAGUGAUGAUGAUGGAAGCAAGGUAGCCAAAUGUCAAGCUGGAAGACAUGUUAUCACUGGCGGCAUACUGGAUCAGAAACUGAGCACGGAGGACAGCUUUCACAGCAGAGAUAAUCAGCCAUGUAUCAGUGGUGGGUGCAGAUAGCAGAAGCCAAGAACGGAGAAGGAUAGAUAACAUUGACAGCAGAGGCAAGUAUGGACUACCUGACAGUGUUCAAGUACUGGAAAUCACCAACACAGAUCAUGCAGUUUGUCCACCAACCAGUGCAAUGGUAACUGAUAGCCGAGUAGCAAGACGGAUGUGUCGACGUCAGUGCAGAGCGCCUUUGUGAUGUGCGAUGCAGCCUUGCAAUUGCAGCUGGUGGUGCAGGGUGGCAGGAGGUAGGAUAGUUCAACAGAGUUGAUUGUACAAAGAUCGAAUCUCACUCACUCUCCGGGUGCGUAGCUGCUAGUGCAAGAAAGCUGAUUUGCGCAUCACGCUGAGUGCAUGUGUCACACGGACGACGCACAGCAGAAACAAAUCUACCAACUGCCGCUUUCUCUUGCUGGUUGUCCUGCAGCAUGAAUCAAGCAGUUGUGAAAUGUUCUUCUUCUCGUCCUCUCCUCAGCAAAUCAAUGUAUAUUCUGAUUUAGCCUCUGGCGUGGCAGGCUGUAUCACUCUGCUCUUGUGGCUUCUUUUUCACGACCAACUCCCUCCCCCCCCCCCCCCCCCUCCUCACAGUCUCUUUCUUCCACUGUGUCUGUGUGUCUGUCUAGCUCUCUCUCUCUCGUUUUUUGGGGGCCGCGACAAAUGUAUGCGAACCCCGCUACUAUUUCCUCUGCUCAUUUAGUUGCAAAUCUUUCCGAUUCUAUUUUUAAGGCAUCUUAGACUGACAGAGUAUUCAG